rnacentral:tRNA from 1 species
UUGAUAUAAGCUUAUUUAAGCAUUUUAUUGUUAAUAAAAAGAAAAAACUUUCUGUUUAUAUCAAG